rnacentral:rRNA from 1 species
GUCGGGUAGCUAGUCUAUUCGGUGAUGCAGCUAACGCAUUAAACAUUCCGCCUGGGGAGUACGGUCGCAAGAUUAAAACUCAAAGGAAUAGACGGGGACCCGCACAAGUGGUGGAGCAUGUGGUUUAAUUCGAAGAUACGCGAAGAACCUUACCUAGCCUUGACAUAUUUGAGAACACUUUAGAGAUAGAGUGGUGCCUUCGGGAGCUCAUAUACAGGUGCUGCACGGCUGUCGUCAGCUCGUGUCGUGAGAUGUUGGGUUAAGUCCCGCAACGAGCGCAACCCUCGUCACUAGUUACUAACGGUUCGGCCGAGGACUCUAGUGAGACUGCCUUCGUAAGGAGGAGGAAGGUGAGGACGACGUCAAGUCAUCAUGGCCCUUACGGCUAGGGCAACACACGUGCUACAAUGGCCAGGACAAUGAGAAGCGAUACCGCGAGGUGGAGCAAAUCUAUAAACCUGGUCUCAGUUCGGAUUGUAGUCUGCAACUCGACUACAUGAAGCUGGAAUCACUAGUAAUCGUAGAUCAGCUAUGCUACGGUGAAUACGUUCCCGGGUCUUGUACUCACCGCCCGUCACACCAUGGGAGUUGAUUUCACCCGAAGCGGGGAAGCUAAACUGGCUACCCUCCACGGUGGAAUCAGCGACUGGGGUGAAGUCGUAACAAGGUAACCGUA